rnacentral:lncRNA from 1 species
AUCGUCCAUUUUAUCUAUUAGGAAGCACUCAACUUCCUUUGCAGGUUGAUCAGAGGCACAAAAUAUAUUUAACUUGACCUUCAUAUUCCCAAAGGAUAUAUUCAUCACCCCAGUUCUACAAUUUAUACUCGCAUUGGCUGUAGCUAAAAAGGGACGCCCAAGGAUCACGGGGAUUUGUUUCUUAGGAUUAGGCUCAUGUUCCAUAUCAAGAACGAUAAAAUCUACUGGAAAAUAGAAUUUGUCUACCUUGACAAGAACAUCUUCAAUUAUCCCACGUGGUGUUUUUACAGAUCGAUCAGCCAAUUGAAGGGAUACCGAGGUUGGUUUUAACUCACCUAACCCAAGUUUCUCGUAAACUGAGUAAGGUAAAAGGUUGACACUUGCCCCUAGAUCUAAGAGUGCUCGAUCAAUGAAAUUACUUCCUAAGACACAGGAGAUGGUGGGAGCACCAGGAUCUUUAAAUUUCGGAGGGGUGUUGU